GGGUAUGUAGUGUAGUGGUAUCACGUUCGCUUCGCAUGCGAAAGGCCCCGGGUUCAAAUCCCGGCUUAUCCA
rfam:Oxytricha trifallax strain JRB310 Contig1166.1 macronuclear, whole genome shotgun sequence.